UCUGCCUUUGGGUGGGGAAUAACUCUUCGAAAGGAGAGCUAAUACCGCAUAACGCAGCGGCACCGCAUGGUGACAGUUGUUAAAGGGGGGGAUCUUCGGACCUCCUGCCUGAAGAGGAGCCCGCGUCCGAUUAGCUAGUUGGUGAGGUAACGGCUCACCAAGGCUGCGAUCGGUAGCCGGCCUGAGAGGGCGGUCGGCCACACUGGCACUGAGACACGGCCCAG
rnacentral:rRNA from 1 species